AUUGAACGCUGGCGGCAUGCCUUACACAUGCAAGUCGAACGGCAGCACGGGUGCUUGCACCUGGUGGCGAGUGGCGAACGGGUGAGUAAUACAUCGGAACAUGUCCUGUAGUGGGGGAUAGCCCGGCGAAAGCCGGAUUAAUACCGCAUACGAUCCACGGAUGAAAGCGGGGGACCGUCGGGCCUCGCGCUAUCGGGUUGGCCGAUGGCGGAUUAGCUAGUUGGUGGGGUAAAGGCCUACCAAGGCGACGAUCAGGAGCUGGUCUGAGAGGACGAGCAGCAACACUGGAACGGAGACACGGUCCAGACGCCGACGGGAGGACGCAGUGGGGAAGAGUGGACAAAGGGCGCAAGGCUGAUCCAGCCAUACCGCGUGGGUGAAAAAGGCCUUCGGGUUGUAAAGCGCUGUAGUGGGGAAAGAAAAGCAGCAGGUUAAGACCCCGCUGUUCUGACGGUACCCAAAGAAUAAGCACCGGCUAACGUCGUG
rnacentral:rRNA from 1 species